rnacentral:lncRNA from 1 species
AUCCUUCCAAAAGAAGAGUUUUAAAUUCAGGGUUGCAUCAUAAGCCACACUGGGAAUCUAGCUGACCUUCCUCUGAUGGGAAAGGGUAAAGCACCCAGCCACAUCCCUCCCAUCUGCUUGGCAUCACCUUGGGCUGUUGCAGAGGGUACGAGUGUACAGGUGAAAUCAGAUGGACUCAUCUGACCAGCACAGCUUCUUUCCACGCCAGCCACCUCUCAAGCAAAAUCUUCAUGCUGGUAGCUGAGUCUCUGUGGGUUCUUGAUGGGUUAUUAUCUACUCCUCCGACGUGGUUAAAGAUCCAGCUCUAGUUUUAGAGGUAAGAAAAAGAUUUGUAUUUAUGGUUUAAAGUGAUCGAUGAGCUCCUGUGUGUUUUAUCAUGACAGACUACUU